rnacentral:rRNA from 1 species
AUUGAACGCUGGCGGCAGGCCUAACACAUGCAAGUCGAGCGAGCGGCGGACGGGUGAGUAAUGUAUGGGAAACUGCCUGAUGGAGGGGGAUAACUACUGGAAACGGUAGCUAAUACCGCAUACCAUCAGAUGGGCCCAGAUGGGAUUAGCUGGUAGGUGGGGUAAUGUCUCACCUAGGCGACGAUCCCUAGCUGGUCUGAGAGGAUGACCAGCCACACGGGAACGGAGACACGGUCCAGACUCCUACGGGAGGCAGCAGUGGGGAAUAUUGCACAAUGGGCGCAAGCCUGAUGCAGCCAUGCCGCGUGUGUGAAGAAGGCCUUCGGGUUGUAAAGCACUUUCAGCGAGGAGGCGUUACUCGCAGAAGAAGCACCGGCUAACUCCGUGCCAGCAGCCGCGGUAAUAC